UAGGUCGAACUGCUCCAUACCGACCGCCGUUGCUGGGGGAGGAGGAGGAGCCUGAAAAACUGGAGGCGAGGUCGGAGCCUGAGAUCUGGCCGUGGAGGCCGUGGAUCGCCUGGUGGAUGCCUUUCGGAGAGGCAUCAGGUGAAGAUCUAGUAGGGAAAGGAGAGGAGGAUGUCGGAGAAGAUGACUGGAGGCAAUCCCAUUGAGCACUCCUUCAAGAAUAAGGGUACUGCGAAGACACAAAGCCCCUUCCUCUAGCGCCAAUUCUGUUGGUGCAGAAUUCCAU
rnacentral:lncRNA from 1 species